UACAGCUCGCCUUGGCCGCCCAAUUUGAGGUAGCAAGGCUGAGAUGAAAUUUUGCAAUAUCAACCGUUCGCCGAAAUUUGGACUUUCCAUGACCUCAUGGGAUUGGUUGUGUUGCAGCUCCACCAGUUGAUGAAGAAGGCCAUUGAGGAGAGGUUUGAGGGUAUUGUACUCAUGCCUACGUUUUUCCAAGCAAUUCAAUUACUUUUAGUUUCUUUAGCAUGGUUCGAUGAUGAAUAUAAAUUGAUUGAUUGAUCAUUCCAUCCUCGUACCAUUCUUGUUGACGGUAG
rnacentral:lncRNA from 1 species